AUGCCGGCGGUGGCCGCCGCGGCGACGGAGUGCCGGCUCAGCGGAAAAGCGGUUGCCAGGCAAGGCAUCAUCGCCGGCAAAGAUCACAAGUGCUUUGUGCGCCUGCACGGCGACCUGAUCAGCUACGUGGCCUGCCGCGACGCCAUCCACCAGAUGCUCGCGCAGACGCCGCUCGUCAGCGAGUUCGACCUCGCCCCCGACAACUGGGACGACUUCCUGCCCCACGAUCUGGCCACGCUCAUCGUGGGCGUGGCUCGGCGCGACGCCGAUGAACAGGGGGGCGUCGCCCUUCGCUACAACGUCCACGUGGACCUCACCAUCUGGGUCAAGAUCGUCUACAGCGAGCACAAGGCGCUGCUCCUUGCCUGUAACCAGCGUGCCGCGCUGACACGGUGCCUGUUCGCGGCGACGCCGACCGACUGCUGUGUGUGCAUGGAGGAUUUCGCGGCGGCGAUAGACGGCGACACCACCGUGAGGCUGCCGUGCUCCCACGCCUUCCACCGCGCCUGCAUUUUGCCGUGGUUUUACAAGGCGUCCACAUGCCCAAAGUGUCGCCAUGGCUUGUCCAUGAGAAAGGAGGCUGGAUAUUGUUUGUUGGUUGCUGCCUAUGAUUCUCAGGCAGCCUACUGA
rnacentral:rRNA from 1 species